GACCUUGCUCUUCUCUUCCAGUUUUGAUGUAUGUGCAAGGCUGGGAUCAUUUUUAAGCCAUCCUUUUUAGAGGAUUGGAAAACAUCUUUUGGUUUUGCUUGUGUUUGAGUCACUGACUGAGAAGUUUGUGGACCUGUAUGGCCUUAUAGACCCUCAAGUUGAAAACCGCUGACCUGGACUAAUUCACAUCUAUCCUGCAUGGUGAAUAUAUUGUAUGAAACUUCUAAAAAUAAUUUAUGU